AAGUCGUAACAAGGUUUCCGUAGGUGAACCUGCGGAAGGAUCAUUAUUGAAAUUACCGGCAAGGGCUGUAGCUGGCCUUUCGGGGCAUGUGCACGCUCGAGCCUUUAAUCCAACAUACACCUGUGAACCCAAUGUAAGGGCCCGUAAAAAGGCCCCUACGUCUUUAUCACCAACUCUGUAUUCAUAGAAUGUAAUCCAUAUCUUUGCCUUAACAAGCGUUGGUAAAACUUAUACAACUUUCAACAACGGAUCUCUUGGCUCUCGCAUCGAUGAAGAACGCAGCGAAAUGCGAUAAGUAAUGUGAAUUGCAGAAUUCAGUGAAUCAUCGAAUCUUUGAACGCACCAUGCGCUCCUUGGUAUUCCGAGGAGCAUGCCUGUUUGAGUGUCAUUAAUAUAUCAACCUCUUCAGCUUUUUGCAUGUUGAGUGUUGGAUGUGGGGGGUAUUUUUGCUGGACUCUAUACAAUCUGAGGUCAGCUCCCCUAAAAUGCAUCAGCGAAACAAUUUAUUUACUGCUCAUUGGUGUGAUAACUAUCUACGCUAUUGACGGUGAAGCAUGUUUAGCUUCUAACAGUCCAUUAACUUGGACAAUCUCUUAUUAAUGUGACCUCAAAUCAGGUAGGACUACCCGCUGAACUUAAGCAUAUCAAUAANNNNNAAUUUAAAAUCUGGCAGUCUUUGGCUNUNCNCGAGUUGUAAUCUAGAGAAGUGCUAUCCGCGCUGGACCGUGUNCAAGUCUCCUGGAAUGGAGCGUCAUAGAGGGUGAGAAUCCCGUCUUUGACACGGACUGCCAGGGCUUUGUGAUGCGCUCUCAAAGAGUCGGGUUGUUUGGGAAUGCAGCUCAAAAUGGGUGGUAAAUUCCAUCUAAAGCUAAAUAUUGGCGAGAGACCGAUAGCGAACAAGUACCGUGAGGGAAAGAUGAAAAGAACUUUGGAAAGAGAGUUAAACAGUACGUGAAAUUGCCGAAAGGGAAACGCUUGAAGUCAGUCGCGUUGUCCAGGGAUCAACCUUGCUUUUGCUUGGUGCACUUUCUGGUUGACGGGUCAGCAUCAAUUUUGACUAUUGGAAAAAGAUUAGGGGAAUGUGACAUCUUCGGAUGUGUUAUAGCCCUUGGUUGCAUACAAUGGUUGGGAUUGAGGGACUCAGCACGCCGCAAGGCCGGGUUUUCAAACCACGUACGUGCUUAGGAUGCUGGCAUAAUGGCUUUAAUCGACCCGUCUUGAAACACGGACC
rnacentral:rRNA from 1 species